rnacentral:rRNA from 1 species
GGCUGGGGGUGAAAGGCCAAUCAAACCGGGAGAUAGCUGGUUCUCCCCGAAAGCUAUUUAGGUAGCGCCUCGUGAAUUCAUCUCCGGGGGUAGAGCACUGUUUCGGCAAGGGGGUCAUCCCGACUUACCAACCCGAUGCAAACUGCGAAUACCGGAGAAUGUUAUCACGGGAGACACACGGCGGGUGCUAACGUCCGUCGUGAAGAGGGAAACAACCCAGACCGCCAGCUAAGGUCCCAAAGUCAUGGUUAAGUGGGAAACGAUGUGGGAAGGCCCAGACAGCCAGGAUGUUGGCUUAGAAGCAGCCAUCAUUUAAAGAAAGCGUAAUAGCUCACUGGUCGAGUCGGCCUGCGCGGAAGAUGUAACGGGGCUAAACCAUG